UAAAAUGGCUGAGAGAGAACUCA
rnacentral:piRNA from 1 species